CACCAAACUCUCUCAAACUCCCUACUCUCUCAAACUCUCUCAAAAUCCCCAGAAAUCACUCGAGGACUAACCCCGAGUUAAUUUAUGAUUUGUGUCUAUCUUGCCUUUUCCAUUUAACUUUUUUUCAAGAUCUAUUUUUAUUUUGUACGAUGCCCCAGUUAUGGAUAGGAAGAUCAAUGUUGAGUUUUUCUGGUUUGAUAUUUCAGGAUCUCAAAUUUAUCAUACACCGAGUGGAGGACCUUUGUAUUUGAUGCCUGAUAGUUAGGUCAAAUUUUUUCUUAAUUUGCUUGUUCAAUUUUUGUUUGAUUGACCGACAAUGAAUUACCUGGUUCAAUCCCCUGUUGGAUUUUUGUUUAAUUGUCUGGCAAUGAACUAUCUGGCUCAAUCCCCAUCUUCACUUGAACCAAUUGACACCGUCAAAUAUUUGAUUUCCUUUAAGUUAUUCAGUUGAUAUUGAGCAUUCGAGCUUUUCCUUUUCCUCUCAAUUUUUUAUUUGUUUCUUAAAAAAUAUGUUAUGUUCACUCUUUCAGUAGUUAUAGUGCAAUAUGAUAUUGUUGACCUUCAAUUUUUAGAAAAGUAUAUCUAAUAUUCAUUGUUUACGUUAGAGUCUGUAUGUUACAUUUAAUAAUUUACACAAUUGCGAGACUAAGUAUCGAUUGGUGCCCUCUUAUAUGGCUCCACAACAUUCUUUUAACCUCUAACUGGUUUUGCAUAGGUCAGAUUGAACUACCCAAUCCAUGCCAUGAAAGGAAGAAAUUUGCUCGUCUUUGGUAUUGAUUAUACCUCAUUUUGAUCAUCAAUCCGCUGUUGAAAAUCCACUUGAGCUUAUGCGACCAUAGUACGAUAUCAUUAUCUGGUCUACCACUAGACACUUGAAGUUAUUGAGUUUGAUCUGAAACGACAACUUGUAUAUGAGCUUGAUGUAAAUGUUUUGAGAUGUGUGCGUGAUCAGAAUGGGUCGGAAUCCUGUGAUACAGCAUUGUAUCGACUGUGUUUCAACAUAGGAAAUUGGAUUCAUAAUUUUUGCAUUGCGUAUUCAAGGUGCAGCACCAUCUACAUAUCCUUAUGGUUGUUGUGUUAUUCAGCAGUAAAAACGAAUACUUUUACAUGUCGAUCUUAUUUUCAUUUCACUUUUGAACAAUAAUUGUUACGUUUUUCAUUCUUUGUUAUACAUGUUUAUUUCUUCUAUCUUCAUGAAUCUACUUCACAUCUCUUGUUUCGGACAGUGGAGUACUCUACAGCUUAGUCAGAUUAUAGUGGAGGAAAUUUUGGAAUUUAAACUUCAAGCUCGUCUAAGUGCACUUCAGAGAGAUCUGGAGUUCGAGACUGCAACUGAAAAUAGCAAUACGAAGCCUCAUGAGUUGCUAGACAAAGAUGUUGUUUCACGAAUGCCUGAAUAACUAUUUAAUUAAAGGCUUGAGUUCAUCGAUGAACUUUCAGCAGGGGUCACGGGAAGCUUCCAUUCUUGCGGUCAGGUUUCAAACUUCCAUGUUAUUGGUAGCCUUAGAAAGUUCCCCUGUUAAAUAGUUCAAUCCAAAGUUAUGUUUUGUCGACUUUCUAUAUAAUUUUUUUUUAGCUUUAGAAACAAGCGGAACUAUGUUGGCCAAUCAAAAAUCCUGUAUAUAUUUUUGUGUAUUUGUCGUUACUCAUAUGCUCCUGUUUUUGGUUUUUCCAAGUCUUAUAGAAACAUAUUAUCAUUUAAUCAUACAACGCUAAACUAAGACAUUGAUGUAUUCUCAUAUCUCAAAUAUAUAAACCAUAAUAAAAACACUUGUGCGUUUCUAGCUAGAUAUAACUAGCUUAGAGCUGCUCAUCUAUGAUUCGUAACAUGUUGACUUUAUAAUGAUUUCCAGAGACUUAGUUUUACUCCAGAAAUGCACCGGAAGGCGAAGAACUAUUUCCAUACUCUUGCUCAUGUGGUGUUUGUAAAUCCUCUUACUUCUUGACAAGCCUAUUGUGCAUGCUCUUUACAGAGAACCUGAUCAGGAUGUUAGUUCACAUUGUGGUUUGUUAAUAUGCAACCCAAUUUAGGUCGGCAGCGUAUUAUGUUACCGGCAAUGAGACUUUCAGCAAUUCAAUCGGUGUAUCAGUGAGAUUGACUGAGUGCAUAUUCACACUUCAGAGGAAAUCCGAGUGCUAUGAAGAAGAGAUCAUGGGUAAUAAACCACGUUCAAGAGUUGGUCACAUGAUUGUGUUGGUCCAAAUUUCAGUUCAAGCAUUGGUGAAGCAGGUGUGUUAGUCAAGAUUAGACUUUGAUCAACUUUACGAAAAAUGGAUAAUGUUUCCGAUUUCGUUGAUAUUUUCUUUUAGUCGGUACUAAGCAUACUGUUCUAUCAAGUAUAUAUAUUGAAUUAUGUAAAUUAUACCAUACAUUAACUUCUAUUCAACUUAUUAUGUACUUCGGAUA